rnacentral:rRNA from 1 species
UUUGAUUAUGGCUCAGGAUGAACGCUAGCUACAGGCUUAACACAUGCAAGUCGAGGGGCAGCAUUGGAGUAGCAAUACUCAGAUGGCGACCGGCGCACGGGUGAGUAACACGUAUCCAACCUGCCGCUUACUCGGGGAUAGCCUUUCGAAAGAAAGAUUAAUACCCGAUGGGUAUAAAGAGUUCGCAUGUUCUCUUUAUUAAAGAAUUUCGGUAAGCGAUGGGGAUGCGUUCCAUUAGAUUGUUGGCGGGGUAACGGCCCACCAAGUCUACGAUGGAUAGGGGUUCUGAGAGGAAGGUCCCCCCACAUUGGAACUGAGACACGGUCCAAACUCCUACGGGAGGCAGCAGUGAGGAAUAUUGGUCAAUGGACGAGAGUCUGAACCAGCCAAGUAGCGUGAAGGAUGACUGCCCUAUGGGUUGUAAACUUCUUUUAUAAGGGAAUAAAGUGAGGGACGUGUCCCUUUUUGUAUGUACCUUAUGAAUAAGGAUCGGCUAACUCCGUGCCAGCAGCAGC